GGGGCUGCAUUGGUUUCGACGUGGGUUCGGACGCGGUGUGGUGCAUGUCGAGCUGAGUGUGCUCGUAAAACUGAUUCAAACAAACUAACUGCAAACGACGAACGUUUCGCACUCGCUGCUUAAUUGCCAAGCGAGCUUUACAACAGCAGGCCGAUGGGCUGGGCAAGGGGUCUUUAGCGCAAGUUAAGGGCUCCCGGCUGUAAAGAUAAUUUCAUCGGCUGGCUCCGGGCUGGGUACCUUAACCCGGGGCAAGACAAUAGGGUGCUGGCGUCCUGUGUAGCGUGCGACUGCGCGAUACAGGUGGCGAGACUCAAAUCAGACCGCUAAACAUGUAGAUCUGCCCGAACAAGGCUUGCGGACGGGGGUUCAAAUCCCCCCAGCUCCACCA
rnacentral:tmRNA from 1 species